rnacentral:lncRNA from 1 species
GCGUUUUAAUUUCCUUGUCGUUUGCGUGAACUCUCAUGAAGUUCAAAAUAAUGAUGUGUUUGUACAUAUAAUCCACAAUUUCUUUUAAAUCAUCCAAUACUAUCGAUAUCCUUUCAACUUACAACAACAUUUUCUCAUCUAUCUGGAUUUCAAAUAUAUAUAUAUUUAUUUAUUUAUUUAUAUAAAUAGAAGCCAACAUGCUAUUAAUGCAGAUAGAACGAAAGCCCAUCCAUUUAUAUUUAUUAUGGAGCAUUUCUGUUUAUUCUACAAAAUUUAUAUUUAUUCUAUAAUAUUUUAUUUAUUUUAUUUUUGAUUAUUCCCAUCCAUUUAUAUUUAUUAUGGAGCAUUUCUGUUUAUUCUACAAAAUUUAUAUUUAUUCUAUAAUAUUUUAUUUAUUUUAUUUUUGAUUAUUCUAAACUCAUUUAUAUUUAUUUUAAAAAUAUUUAUAUUUAUCC